CCUACGGGAGGCAGCAGUGAGGAAUAUUGGUCAAUGGGCGAGAGCCUGAACCAGCCAAGUCGCGUGAAGGAUGACGGCCCUACGGGUCGUAGACUUCUUUUGCCAGGGAGCAAAUGGGUCGACGUGUGGUCUUAGCGAGAGACCCUGAAGAAAAAGCACCGGCGAACUCCGUCCCAGCAGCGGCGGUAAUACGAGGGAUGCGAGCGUUACCCGGAUUAAUUGGGUUUAAGGGGUGCGUAGGCGGAAUAUAAAGUCGGCGGUAAAAAGUCGGGGCUAAACCCCGUCGGGCCGUUGAAACUGGUGGUCUUGAGUGGGCCAGAGGUAUGCGGAAUGCGUGGUGUAGCGGUGAAAUGCAUAGAUAUCACGCAGAACCCCGAUUGUGAAGGCAGCGUGCCGGGGCCCCACUGACGCUGAGGCACGAAAGCGCGGGGAUCGAACAGGAUUAGAUACCCUGGUAGUC
rnacentral:rRNA from 1 species